UUAGCAGCCCCUUUAUUGCACUCGAACCUCUGGCGACGGAAAAGCCACCGCCCCCACCCCAAACUGCGAGCCGCGCUCCUGGCGCACCCGCCUCCCACCGGCUUGGCUGCAAAAACAGCACCCGCCCGGAGGUCUCGGUCUCUCCGACCCGGGAUGUGAAGCCCGAAAGGGUGGCGGGAACCCCAGCCUGGGAGGGACGCGGCCGCCGCGCGGGCCAGAUCCCCUCAUCCAGGCCACCUUUGGAAACGGGCCCAACUGCCCCGCCAACCUUUUCCCAGCCCAGUGGUCCCACCCCUACCUCCACUGCUGGAAAACCCCAUAGGGGUGGGGCUGGAAUCUUCUGGACUCCUGGGAGCCCAAUCCGCUUGCCUCUUGUACCCCUCUUGCAGAGCAAUGAUCCGAUGGGGUGCCAGGCAUUAGAACCCUUCCCUCCAAUCCUCACCAUGUCUCCAUUUUGCCAAAGAAGAAACUGAGGUUAAGGUCGCGAUGCCCUGGCCAGCACCAAAGGUGGGAUUUGAACGCAGAUCGCGUUUGGAGCGGCUCUAGUGUUUAAGCCACACGGUAUGACAUUGGACUGGUGAAUCGGGCCCUCGCAGGGCCUGGAGUAACCUAAGCCGAGAGGAGUUGGGCCGAAUCUCCAGGUGUUCCUUUCUUUCUGUCCUACGAAAGCUUUGGAAUUCUUAUUUUCAGGUAAACGAUUUUGGCAGUGCCCGGAGAAGGACAGAAGUAAGACCCAAGGAGGAACUUCCUGCAAGCUACGGGAGACCCCCUGGGGCGAUGAGGCAUGGGCAGCCAAGGGAGCAGCAGCCAUCGACCUUGGAUCUGUUUUUCCUCAAGAGUCUGUCCUAUGGGGCCCGGGGCCCAGUAUCCAGCCGCAAUCCUGGACCCAGGGGGAGAAGGGACUUGGGGAGGAGGGCAAACCCUCCCGCCCCCGGCCCGGGACCGACGGCAGCCCUAGCCAGUCCCCGCUCUCUCCCUCUCCAGGGGCCUCUCUGUGAGGUCGGGUCUUCCUAGCUGCAGAGCGUGGGGGGCUGGCUGCAGGGCAGCAGAGUGGUAGCCAGGGCCUGGGACCCUCUGGUUGGUCAAGGAGGGGCUGGAGUCUGGCUCCCAGUGACCCAGUCCCCAGUCACAGCCGUGGGGUCGCACGUGGUGGCGAAGACAGGCCACGGGUCCCUCGCCACAAGUCCCAUUACGUUGUAUUUAUGUUUCACUUUAUUGUUUUUUUCCUCCUCCCUUAUUAUUGUCUCACUCUGGGGGAGGCAAAGGAUAUAAUAUAUUCAUCUUUAUUAUACCAAAUCUGUGUGAAGCAUUUAAUAAAACGCUGUUUCCACACAGCCAGGGAUA